AUUGGUUAAGUGGCUGCCUUCAGCUCAGGUCAUGGUCCCAGGGUCCUGGGAUUGAGCCCCGCAUUAGCCUGCUUGCUCAGCGGGAGACCUGCUUCUCCCUCUCUC